rnacentral:rRNA from 1 species
CCUACGGGUGACCGCAGUUAGGAAUAUUGGUCAAUGGGCGCAGGCCUGAACCAGCCAAGUCGCGUGAGGGACGACUUCCCUAUGGGUUGUAAACCUCUUUUAUAAGGUAAGCAUAAUGACUACGUGUAUUUAGAUGCCCGUACCUUAUGCAUAAGCAUCGGCUAACUCCGUGCCAGCAGCCGCUGUCAUACGGAGGCUGCGAUCGUUCUCCGGAUUUAUUGGGUUUAAAGUGUGCGUAGGCGGUAUUUUAAGUUAGUGGUAAAACGUCGGGGCUUCACCUUGAUUGGCCAUUAAAACUGGAGUACUAGAGUACAGACGAGGUAGGCGGAAUAAGUUAAGUAGCGGUGAAAUGCUUAGAUAUAACUUAGAACCCCGAUAGCGAAGGCAGCUUACCAGACUGUUACUGACGCUGAAGCACGAGAGCGUGGGUAGCGAACAGGAUUAGAUACCCCAGUAGUC